AGAUAUCAAUGAGUGUUUGACUGAAUGCAAAGAUGUAGGCCAAGUGUGCAACAACAUAGAUGGGUCUUUCAUAUGUGAAUGUGAUGAAAAGUAUGUGCCAUUAGCAGACGGGACGUGUGAACCAGAACCUCUAGAGUGUGAAGAUAUUGUAUGCGAAGGUGAUCAUAAUUACUGCAAGCUAAAUAAUGAAGGAACGCCUGACUGUUUUUGUGAUAUAGGAUAUUUCCCGAGCCCAGAUUCUGAAAACUGUGCAGAUGAAAAUGAAUGUGAUACAACUUGCAAAGAGGAAGGUCAAAUUUGUGAGAACACUAUAGGAUCCU